rnacentral:misc_RNA from 1 species
GAUGAAGAACGCAGCGAAAUGCGAUAAGUAAUGUGAAUUGCAGAUUUCAGUGAAUCAUCGAAUCUUUGAACGCACCUUGCGCUUUGUGGUAUUCCACAAAGCAUGCCCGUUUGAGUAUCAUUAAAUCAUCAACCUCAAAACCUUUGUGUUUCUGAGGCUUGGUCUUGAGGGUUUGCAGGCUUUUACCGGUCAGCUCCCUUUAAAUUUAUUAGCGAGACUUCCCUGUGUUGACUGUCUCUUGGCGUGAUAAUUAUCUGCGUCAAACUUUGACGGUCUCGUUGGGCUUGCUUCUAAUCGUCUUCGGACAAAAGGAUUGAAGCGCAUAUAUGCGCCUCUUUUCAAACCUUUUUUUGAUCUCAAAUCGGGUAGGAUUACCCGCUGAACUUAAGCAUAUCAAUAAGCGGAGGA